rnacentral:rRNA from 1 species
AUUGAACGCUGGCGGCAUGCUUUACACAUGCGAGUCGAACGGUAACAGGCCGCAAGGUGCUGACGAGUGGCGAACGGGUGAGUAAUGCAUCGGAACGUGCCCAGUCGUGGGGGAUAACUACUCGAAAGAGUAGCUAAUACCGCAUACGAUCUAUGGAUGAAAGCGGGGGACCGUAAGGCCUCGCGCGAUUGGAGCGGCCGAAGUCAGAUUAGGUAGUUGGUGGGGUAAAGGCUCACCAAGCCAACGAUCUGUAGCUGGUCUGAGAGGACGACCAGCCACACUGGGACUGAGACACGGCCCAGACUCCUACGGGAGGCAGCAGUGGGGAAUUUUGGACAAUGGGCGCAAGCCUGAUCCAGCAAUGCCGCGUGCAGGAAGAAGGCCUUCGGGUUGUAAACUGCUUUUGUACGGAACGAAACGGCUCUGGUUAAUACCCGGGGCUAAUGACGGUACCGUAAGAAUAAGCACCGGCUAACUACGUG